rnacentral:piRNA from 2 species
UGGUGCAUAGAGCCUUAGGUUUGGAAAGAAGU